rnacentral:rRNA from 1 species
AUGCAUAAGCUCGUAAACGUUCAUUAUUUGGACAAGUCGACAUUUAUGCUUGGAAAUGACGAUGAAGGGGAAGAGGCUAUGGUUUUUGACACAAGUCCAAGCUUUGAUGAUCUUGUAGUUCAAGUGAGAAGCGUCUUACAUUGAAAUGACCCAAAUGCCGAGGUUAAGCUUAUUGGGAGAUAUGACGUUGGAUUGGGAGUAAAGUCCCGAUUAAAGAGUAUGCCCAUCACCUCCCAAUUGCAUUGGAAUGUGUACAAGGAAAAAGUAGACGCAUCACAAGACAAGUCUCUUGAGAUCUUUGCCACAAAGGUUGAUCCUCCUUCUCCUUUGCAAAUUGAUCUCAACCGCAAUGCAUCCUCUCCCAUGCAUGAUGACAGUGCCGAGGUGUAUGUCCCCAAUUCUUCUAGCCAACCACCAAGUAGCCAACCCAAUGAAGAUCAUAUCAACGCUAGCGCCAUAGUACUCCGUCAUGAUGCUAUUCCUCAUGUUGAGAAGAUGCUAUUCCUCAUGUUGAUGAUGAUGCUAUUGUUGCUCUAG